UACGGAGGGUGCGAGCGUUGUCCGGAAUCACUGGGCGUAAAGGGCGCGUAGGCGGCCUGAUAAGUAGGGGGUGAAAUCCUGCGGCUUAACCGCAGGGCUGCCUUCUAAACUGUCAGGCUUGAGCACAGUAGAGGCAGGUGGAAUUCCCGGUGUAGCGGUGGAAUGCGUAGAGAUCGGGAAGAACAUCAGUGGCGAAGGCGGCCUGCUGGGCUGUUGCUGACGCUGAGGAGCGAAAGCAUGGGGAGCGAACAGG
rnacentral:rRNA from 1 species